UAACUUUGGUAUAUCAAGCAUCUGACAUUUUGGCAUUUUGUGUUUUUUUUUCUCUGAAUUAUUUUAUUAGAAUCUUAGCUUGAACAUGGUGUGCAUGUGUCCAUAAAUUACUUUAAGAUUUUACAAGAUAAACAGAAACAAUAGAAAUCCUAAACAAAUGUGGAUUUUUUUUCCCCCUAAAUAAGCAAAUUAGAAAAAUUAUUUGACAUAAAACCAAAAUAAAAUAUUUUGUGAGAUAGAGUUGAGAAACGACAACACAAAAAUAAAAUAAAAUUUCAUAAAGGAAUCUGAAGCCUCCAUCAGUCUUUGUAUCGAUACUAACAGUGAUUUGGUAUCAAUUCACCAAUCUUCAGGAGACAUGUAAAUAAUUAGAUUUCUGACCUAAGAUUCUAUUUAAAAAUCGCAAUUGAAAAGUAUUUAGAACAUCAAACUACAGAUUUUUUUUUACAGUGAAGUACAGUAGGAAAAAAAAAGUGUUUUGUUUCCAGUUGCUGGCUUAGAAGUGAAAUCUGUGCAUGUGAAGCUUCCGCUCGGAAACCUUGACAUGGUGACGAGGAAAUACCUCACUCCUAACAGCUCUAUUUAUUGAAGUGGAGCAAAUAUUCCUGGCAGCGGGACUUUAACCAAACCCAGACCUGGAGCUCACAUCUGCUCCCAAUCACAGCAGAGCCUCUCUCUGUUCCUCCUCUGCUGCAUUUAUUCACAAAGCUGCGACUGGGAAACUGGCUGUUUAUUUGAAGUGAUACCUCUCUCCCCACUACUGGAUGGCAGGAUUAGUGCAUUCAGGCCUUUGGUGUAGAUAUGCAUUGUUUCGAGUUUUGCGGAUUCAAUUAUGUGCAAAAGUUUCAGGCAAGCCGCAGUUUCCCAUUUUCCUUUUAUUUCCCUCAGAGGUUUCUCAGAGACAUUGACUAAUAAUUCUCCACAUUGCAACUGACCGCGAUGUAUGUAAAUAUAAGGGAACUGGGCAAGAAAAUAAUUUAUAAAUGAGUUAGCAGCAAUCUGUGUUGGAUGAAAAGCUUUUGAAAUAAAUGAAAUGAUCCAGAAAGUAGAGAAAUGACAACACAAAAAUAAAAUAAAAUUUAAUAAAGGAAUCUGAAGCCUGCAUCACUUUUAGUACCAACAUUGGUAGUGACUUGGUAUCGAUCUGCCUACCUCAAGCAAUCAUAGAAAUGAUCAGAUUUCUGACCUAGGGUUCUAUUUAUAUGAUACAGCAUCAUUUUUUUGCUAUAUCAUCUGCUGCAUCACCAUAAUUGUUCAGUUUUUGGCUUGCCUUGUUGGUACUACUAUCCUGUUUCUUGUGUUGUCAUUGGAAUUUUGCUGAGAUUCAGUUAAAGAAAUUGAGGAUUUUUUUUUUUCCCACAGAUAAAUAUAAUUGAAAGGUUCUUGAAGUGGAUUAUGUCCAGUCAGAAAACUGGUUCAUCAAGCUAGGUGAAUUAUUCUAGCUCAAGAGUUAAGUGGCUCAGCAAAAACUAAGCAGAAUUAAUUAUAAAGACAUGCUUCUGAAAAUCAUAUUAUCCAAAGAUUACAGUAAUGAGAGAAAAAUCUGAACCUUGUCAGACUAUUGAUAUGCAAAGGUGCAAAAGAACUCUUAAAUCAAACACUUCCAUCUAUUUUAGUGUUCUGGUAUUUUUGCGCUCAGUCACUGCUACUUGUAGUUAGAAUUCAACUCGACAUGGAAAACUUUGAUAUUUUGAGAUUUUUUAAAAUGGAGAUUGCUGACAGCAGAAGCACUUAUUUGACAGAAUCUUCUGUAUCGUGCAUUUUUAGAAGUCCAGUACAUUGUGCUUAAAAUGUCAUCUCACUGACAUUAAUUAAACCAACUUAAUUAAUGUCAAAAUUAUACACUUCUAAAAUGAAUGUCUCAGAUCUUUUUAUUUUAUUUAUAAAUGUGGACAAAACCCACAAUGAUGACUGAAAUACUAUGAAACUGACAAAAGUCAUAAUAAAUAAAAACGUUCUGAAAAUUAACCAAUAAAAUUAGACAUUAUUUUUGAAUUGUGGUUCAAUAUAAUCACUGACUUAAUCAAUGACUUGAAAGCAAUUUUAAUUUCUGAUGUAACCCCUUGAAUUUGGGUCUCUGUCUCUUUAAAAACUCCCCCUCUUUCUGAAACUGCCUUCAAGAAAUCAUCACAACACGGCUCCUCUACUAACCCUUUAACAUUUUUACCAGUGUUGCACUUAGCAGUAGUUCCUAUAAUGAGCUCAGCAGAUGUGCAGUUCCACCAGGUGUUUGCUAAUUACUGCUGACUAGUCUGGAGGAGCUGAGUGAGGGAUUUGUAGGAAAGGGCUGCUCUGUGAGGUGGAAACUCUGAAGGUUAGAAACUGCAGCCCAGAAGAGGAGCUGUGUGUAACCCAUGUUAAAAUCGGACAUAUUUAGGAAUAAAUAGUUGAUUAAAAGUCUGUAGACAGAAAAUAACGUCGCUGUUCCUUUAAGGAACCAGCGUUACAGACGCGGCGCCUGGGUGACGCUGCAGUGCGCAGACCUGAGGGAGAGAGCAGAGGAGGAAUCGGAGGGAAAGAGCAGUGAUUAAUUAACAGGAAAAGUUAAUAUUAUAGAAAAAGAAAAACACAAUUUACCUGGUUGGGAACUGACGGGGAUUUUAUGAGAACCAAGUUACAUCGGUUUUGGUCAGGUUUUUUGUCCGGUUGGAAGCUCGGUCUGAGAGAGGAUUGGUCUGCCAUGUGCGACAUGCACAUUCACAGACGGGAUUCAAGAUGGCGAGCCAGACCUAGACCUUCAAUUCAUCUUCUCCAUCGCAUCAGGGAGGGACUCUCCCGCGUGUGGUAAUCCGCUGCCGGAGCGGUAGGAAUAUCAGGGACUAGUUCGAACCGAACUGAACAGAACUGAAAACUGAUUGAAUUAUUAUCUUUUUGGACUGAAUCAAACUGAGACUUUUCAUUGAACUGAGUACCUGGAUUUACAUUUAGACCUGAACUUGAAUUUAAAGUGCCAUACUUUGAUUUUCAUAUGUUAUGUCUCUGAAUGUGAUUUGAGUAAUUGUGGUCCACUUUGAUUUCAUUGUGUUUGAAGGUAUUCCCCUACCUGUAAAAGAAA